GUCAUACAGUAGGUGUAUGUUUAAGUUUUUAAAAAACUAUUUUCCAAGUAACUCCUUUGUCACUAAUAUAAUUCUGUAUGUUUCCAUUUAUAGUAUCUUACCUAACCAUUUGGCCUGCUGCCUCUGCCAAUUUAAAAAUAAUAUUGAGGUCUUGCCAAGACAGUCAAACUGCAUUGUGAGACCGAAUGUGUGACCAACACACCUUGUGAUGAAGAACUCCUAUUAGCAGGAACUCUCAUGAAAGUAUUACAAGGCCGGCAGAACAUCAGCACUGAGCUGACAAUUGAGCCAGAGAGGGCAUCCUCAAACAAAAAGAGCGACACUUCCUCAUCCCUUAUGAGCCUUCUGAUGAGACUGCUCACUGAGCAGCAGGAAGUAAAGAUAUCCAACUCAGAGUGGAAUGAGGAACAAUGGAAAGAUGAGAGGAUGCAAACCCUCGGGAAGCAGGAAGAGGUGUCUAAUGAGGUGAGGACAGGU